GUUUUGUGAUGAUCCCCAUGCGUGUCAACUGAUCCCAGACUCCCUGCAGUCCUCGGUGUCUGAUUAGCGUUCUGCUUGGCAGUACAUUUGAGCAUGGAGGACUCUGGGAACAUGAUCAUUACUUGAGUCUGAAAAC